GGCAGAUGCUUCCUUCUAAGAUGGUUUGGAGAUAUGAUUUACCACUCCUUUGAGACAAGUGUCUUUCAGCCCAACAGAGGUGGUCUGCAUUUCUGACCUACAUUUUGCUUGAGCAAAACUUUCAUUGAAGGAGAAUUUUGCCUGGACUAAGGACUUCAAGUUUAGGUCUAU
rnacentral:lncRNA from 1 species